rnacentral:rRNA from 1 species
GACGAACGCUGGCGGCGUGCUUAACACAUGCAAGUCGAGCGGUAAGGCCCUUUCGGGGGUACACGAGCGGCGAACGGGUGAGUAACACGUGGGUGACCUGCCCUCAGCUCUGGGAUAAGCCUGGGAAACCCGGUCUAAUACUGGAUAUGACUCCAUGACGCAUGUUGUGGGGUGGAAAGCCUUGUGCGGCUGAGGAUGGGCCCGCGGCCUAUCAGCUUGUUGGUGGGGUGANGGCCUACCAAGGCGACGACGGGUAGCCGGCCUGAGAGGGCGACCGGCCACACUGGGACUGAGACACGGCCCAGACUCCUACGGGAGGCAGCAGUGGGGAAUCUUGCGCAAUGGGCGAAAGCCUGACGCAGCGACGCCGCGUGAGGGAUGACGGCCUCGG